rnacentral:rRNA from 1 species
GACGAACGCUGGCGGCGUGCCUAAUACAUGCAAGUUGAGCGCUGAAGGUUGGUACUUGUACCAACUGGAUGAGCAGCGAACGGGUGAGUAACGCGUGGGGAAUCUGCCUUUGAGCGGGGGACAACAUUUGGAAACGAAUGCUAAUACCGCAUAAAAACUUUAAACACAAGUUUUAAGUUUGAAAGAUGCAAUUGCAUCACUCAAAGAUGAUCCCGCGUUGUAUUAGCUAGUUGGUGAGGUAAAGGCUCACCAAGGCGAUGAUACAUAGCCGACCUGAGAGGGUGAUCGGCCACAUUGGGACUGAGACACGGCCCAAACUCCUACGGGAGGCAGCAGGAGGGAAUCUUCGGCAAUGGACGAAAGUCUGACCGAGCAACGCCGCGUGAGGGAAGAAGGUUUUCGGAUCGUAAAACUCUGUUGGUAGAGAAGAACGUUGGUGAGAGUGGAAAGCUCAUCAAGUGACGGUAACUACACAGAAAGGGACGGCUAACUACGUG